rnacentral:lncRNA from 1 species
CCGGUUUGUAAAUCCAUCCACUGUGGCAAGAUUUCCAGGGAGGCUUGACAAAACCUUACCCUGACCUCGAGAGCAUGAAGAAUUUGGAAUGGACUUCACUUAGAAGAGAAAUUUAAGUUGGUGUAUUUGUCACAGGAAGUGAAAGAGAUUGAUUUAAAAUGAUGUAAGUGAUGAGCUCUAUAAAAAUGAUGACUAGAUAAUAAGUGUUUUCGAGUAACAAAGAGGAAAAAAAAAAACAUUGUUCACCCAACAGAGGCUUGUAGGCGGCUGGCUGUGUGUGUGUGAGCUGGCUCUUCAUUUAAGGAUUGUAUCACUUUUCCAAUAGUAGGUGCUCCUUUUUUCCUGUUUUUUUCUUUCUAUCAUUGUCAGAGAAUUUAUUGAAAAAGUUGCUUCCUCUUGUAAAUUUUGAGCCUUCAGAAGUUCCUCUGAAGUUUUCACUCUUUGUUCUGAUGACACAGGCGAUAAUGACUGACUGCAAACAAAAUUCAGAGAAAAGUGUAACCAGAGCGCCUAACCAAGGUGCCAGCAUUGCGGAGCAGUCCCAACAGAAACAGAGUUCUGUUUUCCCGGUUCCUGGAAAGAGAUGCCCUUCAGACAACAGCUUGGAGUGGAGGUCAGACAGCUGACACACCGUGCUUCCCCACAGCACAAGAUGUGCAGACCCCUUGCUGAAAUCUCAUGAAGUCAAGAUCCUCCAUGCCUGUGGAAGAUUUCAUCCUGGAGGCUUUCCACCGUUACAGCUGUGAAGUGAGACCACCAUUGGAUUUCAUGAAUUGUCUCUUUUCUUCAUUACCUUAUUGAGAUGUUUCCUUCUCCUAUUCUGGUUCUCUGUUUAUGCAGAGACUAAAGGAUGGUGUAUGUGUGUUAGACUGAGACCAGAUGAAAUGUUGGUGGGACUGGUUGCAAUAAGAACCAGGGCAGAGUUAAGGGCGAAAAUUUGGAAGAAGAGGAAGAGGAGAAUUGAAGUUGGCUGACUGAGAAAUGGGUCUGGGGAUGGAAAGGAUAGAAAUGAAACUGGGACUUUGGCAACAUAGGUGUGGUUCAGUUAAGAGCUAAAUAAUAGGAUGAGAAGGUGAGGAAUGCAGUCUGGGAUUAGGGAGGCAAUGAAAAUGAGGCAGAUGUGAAGAGCCAGGAGGAGAGAAGAGAAAGAUCUGAGUCAGGGUUGUUGGCAGUGGAGUGGAACAGGAGGACUCAAGCUUUGGAGGGGGGCAAGCAGGAGGGCCUGUGCCUGCUAGAGAACCAGGGCCCACAUGGUGCCCAAAAUGCCAAGUUUCACGGUUCCUCUGCGGUCGGUCAGGGUAGUGGUCAGCCCUAGAUUAUACAGAACUACACUCCAGAUGUCUAAAUGUGGUGUCUAAAUGUGUGAANNNNNNNNNNNNNNNNNNNNNNNNNNNNNNNNNNNNNNNNNNNNNNNNCUAAACAUCAGGACCUACAUCCACUUUUGAUGCCUUAGAAAAUUUCUUGAGGUGCCCUGGGAUACCCAAAUGACUGUAGGCACCUACUUUCAGGCAGCUGAAUUCCACCUUGACUCAAUUCAGUCCCAGGAGUUUGUAGAGAGACUCAGAUGCGGACUAUGCAGAAGAUUAGGCGGGCUCACGUAAAUGCUUGCCUCUGCCUCUGACUCCC